GAUGAACGCUGGCGGCGUGCCUAAUACAUGCAAGUCGAGCGAACAGACGAGGAGCUUGCUCCUUCGACGUUAGCGGCGGACGGGUGAGUAACACGUAGGUAACCUACCUAUAAGACUGGGAUAACUUCGGGAAACCGGAGCUAAUACCGGAUAAUAUUUCGAACCGCAUGGUUCGAUAGUGAAAGAUGGCUUUGCUAUCACUUAUAGAUGGACCUGCGCCGUAUUAGCUAGUUGGUAAGGUAACGGCUUACCAAGGCAACGAUACGUAGCCGACCUGAGAGGGUGAUCGGCCACACUGGAACUGAGACACGGUCCAGACUCCUACGGGAGGCAGCAGUAGGGAAUCUUCCGCAAUGGGCGAAAGCCUGACGGAGCAACGCCGCGUGAGUGAUGAAGGUCUUCGGAUCGUAAAACUCUGUUAUUAGGGAAGAACAAACGUGUAAGUAACUGUGCACGUCUUGACGGUACCUAAUCAGAAAGCCACGGCUAACUCCGUG
rnacentral:rRNA from 1 species